rnacentral:rRNA from 1 species
AACGAACGCUGGCGGCGUGCCUAACACAUGCAAGUCGUGCGGGAAAGUAGGGGCAACUCUACAAGUACAGCGGCGCACGGGUGAGUAACACGUAGGUAACCUGCCUCGGAGACUGGGAUAGCCUGUCGAAAGACGGGCUAAUACCGGAUACGACCACGGGGAGUUGAGGCUUUCGUGGUGAAAGGUGGCCUCUGCUUGCAAGCUACCAAUCUGAGAUGGGCCUGCGCGCCAUUAGCUAGUUGGUGAGGUAACGGCCACCAAGGCAGAGAUGGCUAGCUGGUCUGAGAGGAUGGCCAGCCACACUGGGACUGAGACACGGCCCAGACUCCUACGGGAGGCAGCAGUGGGGAAUAUUGCGCAAUGGGCG